rnacentral:tRNA from 1 species
AAGGUUUUAAGUUAAUAAAACUGUUAUCCUUCAAAGUUAAAAAUAUAAUUUUUUUGUAAGCCUUA